GUAAAACUCUUCCCACAUUGAGUACACCUAUAUGGUGAUUUCUCUCCUGUGUGUGUUCUCUGGUGUGAUUUUAAAUCUAUUAAAUUAACAAAAGUCUUUCUGCAGUCAGAGCAGUCGUAACGUUUCUCUCCUGUGUGUGUUCUCAGAUGUACUAUCAGGGAGGUUGACCGAAUAAAACUCCUCCCACAUUGAUCACAGCUAUAAGGUUUCUCUCCUGUGUGUACUCGCUGGUGUAUUUUAAGUUCUGAUGAAGACCUGCAACGUU